CGGAGUUUCUUGCUUCUCUCAAGAGCAAGUGGUGCGGAUGGGGUUUAUACUCCCGCCCAGUUUCUUGCUUCUGGUUAAAGAGCAAGUGGCGUGCAUGUAA
ncrna:unclassified sequences wcaG RNA